GACGAACGCUGGCGGCGUGCUUAACACAUGCAAGUCGAGCGGUAAGGCCCUUUUGGGGGUACGACGAGCGGCGAACGGGUGAGUAACACGUGGGUGACCUGCCCUCAGCUCUGGGAUAAGCCUGGGAAACUGGGUCUAAUACUGGAUAUGACCUUUCCUCGCAUGGGGUUGGGUGGAAAGUUUUUCGGCUGGGGAUGGCCCGCGGCCUAUCAGCUUGUUGGUGGGGUGAUGGCCUACCAAGGCG
rnacentral:rRNA from 1 species